CACGUAGGGUGCAAGCGUUUGUCCGGAAUUAUUGGGCGUAAAGGGCUCGUAGGCGGUCCGUCACGUCGGGAGUGAAAACUCGGGGCUCAACCCCGAGCCUGCUUCCGAUACGGGCGGACUAGAGGUAGGUAGGGGAGAACGGAAUUCCUGGUGUAGCGGUGGAAUGCGCAGAUAUCAGGAGGAACACCGAUGGCGAAGGCAGUUCUCUGGGCCGUAACUGACGCUGAGGAGCGAAAGCGUGGGGAGCGAACAGG
rnacentral:rRNA from 1 species